rnacentral:rRNA from 1 species
UGGGGAAUAUUGGACAAUGGGCGAAAGCCUGAUCCAGCCAUGCCGCGUGUGUGAAGAAGGUCUUCGGAUUGUAAAGUACUUUAAGUUGGGAGGAAGGGCAGUAAGCGAAUACCUUGCUGUUUUGACGUUACCGACAGAAUAAGCACCGGCUAAUUCUGUGCCAGCAGCCGCGGUAAUACAGAGGGUGCAAGCGUUAAUCGGAAUUACUGGGCGUAAAGCGCGCGUAGGUGGUUCGUUAAGUUGAAUGUGAAAGCCCCGGGCUCAACCUGGGAACGGCAUCCAAACCUGGCGUGCUAGAGUAGGGCAGAGGGUGGUGGAAUGUCUUGUGUGGCGGUGCACUACGUGGAUAUAGAAAGGAAAACCAGUGGCGAAGGCAACCACCUGGGCACAUACUGACACUGUGGUGCGAAAGAGUGGGGAGCAAACAGG